UUUGCAGUCACCUCACUAAAGAAUAUUCAUUUAUUUAUAAUUAUUGCUAAGUAAACUUCUCUUUUAAACAGGAACAUAAAAACACAGUAGGGCUUUGCACAAGUGGAAUCUCUAAACAGUUGGUUUGUAUACAUGUCAAAAUAAGUUAGAAUGGAAUUUGUCCAGGAGUUUCCAAGUCACCCGAGAGGCUGUGCACCUCUUUUGAGAAGGUUAGGGAGGGGUACAGACAGGAGCCUUGCCAAGACCACCCCCCAGCUCAAACUGUGAGUUGUGCUGUUUCCUCCUCCUAGCUUUGCCCAGGUCCAAGGCACAGGGCAGGGGGCGUUCAAGUAUCGAACCUCACAGAGGGCCAGUGCUGACGGCGGGGCUGGGGGAGGGAAAGGAGAGCCCCACCCUGGGGGCCAGACCUUCUCCCUUCAGUUUCCAAGACCAAGGCCACUGCACUGGCAGGAGGGAGGAGGAGGAGGAGAGGUACAGGGUUCUUUUUGGUACCAGGGGAGAAAGACGUGGGAAGAGGUAGUUGCAGGGGAUGAUGCCUUCUGCUCAGCAGGAGAAAAUGUCUUAUACAGUGACGGGGUCACUGCCACCUGAGGGUCAUCAUGGCGGGCACCUGGGAGGUCGUGGGGCUUCGGGGUCUGGAAGCCAUACUUGGGCCACCUUGUCCACCCCUCAGUCCUGAUCACAGUCACCCUGAGGCCUGGCUUGGUCCUUCACUUAAGGAUCCAGCCUUGGGGGUGGCUGCGCUGCAGAUUGGUUCCUCCCACCGCAGGCACUUGUGAAGAGUGUGACUGAUUGACACUUUUUUGCCUUGGUUGCUGGGAAGCUCAGAUCUCCCCUCUGCAUGUCCCUUGCUUAGGACCUCCCAUGGUGUACUUGGAGUUGGGACCUCACCUGGCUCUCCCUUAUCUUUCCGGCUGCCAUUUUUUCCCCUUUCUAACUUUCUUUCCCAUACACUUAUUUGAAAUAUUAUCUCACGGUAACGAAAUAAAGUGUCUGUCACCUCCUGCUGUGUUGUCAUCUUGCAUGAGCUAUCUAAGUUCUCUGUUCUUCAGUUUCUGCAUCUGUAAAACGAUGACAAUGACAGAGCCAACCUCGCUUUGAGGAUCACAUGAGUUAAUAAAGGCCUGGCACACAGUUAGCACUCAAUAAAUGUUAGUUAUGAUUUUUAUUAAAAAAAAAAAAAAAAAAAAAAA
rnacentral:lncRNA from 1 species